CCAUUUUAUUUUAAAUUAUUUUUCAAGUCGUAUAAAAUAUAUUUUUAUCGUUUGAUGCACAACAGGAUAUUCGAGGAUAAGGUUUUUUUUUUUACAAAAGCAAUAUUUCACACAACGUUAUUAACACAAAUAAACGUCCUUGAGUUUUCUAUUUCUAUAUGGAUACAAUGAGAGUGAAAAUCUUUUGGGAAAUAACCCACGAAUAAAAUUGAAAAAAAGUUAGAACUUAUAGUUAUAGGUAUGUUGUUGGUAGCGUUAAAUUAUAUUUCUGCAGUCGUUAUAAU